rnacentral:rRNA from 1 species
GUGAGGGAAAGGCGAAAAGAACCCCGGCGAGGGGAGUGAAAUAGAACCUGAAAUCAUAUGCAUACAAGCUGUCGGAGCCUUAAGAAGUUCUUCGGAACUUCGGGGUGACGGCGUACCUUUUGUAUAAUGGGUCAGCGAGUUACUGUCUGUGGCAAGCUUAACUUUAUGAGGUAGGCGUAGGGAAACCGAGUCUUAAUAGGGCGUUUAGUCGCAGGGAGUAGACCCGAAACCGGGUGAUCUAUCCAUGGCCAGGGUGAAGGUAAGGUAACACUUACUGGAGGCCCGAACCCACUUAUGUUGAAAAAUGAGGGGAUGAGCUGUGGAUAGGAGUGAAAGGCUAAUCAAACCCGGAGAUAGCUGGUUCUCCUCGAAAGCUAUUUAGGUAGCGCCUCGUGUGUCACUCUUGGGGGUAGAGCACUGUCUCGGCUAGGGGGUCAUCCCGACUUACCAAACCGACGCAAACUCCAAAUACCAAGAAGUGUUAGCACGGGAGACAGACUGCGGGUGCUAACGUCCGUAGUCGAGAGGGAAACAACCCAGACCGCCAGCUAAGGUCCCAAAUUAUGAUUAAGUGGGAAACGAUGUGGGAAGGCUUAAACAGCUAGGAGGUUGGCUUAGAAGCAGCCAUCCUUUAAAGAUAGCGUAACAGCUCACUAGUCGAGUCGGCCCGCGCGGAAGAUAUAACGGGGCUAAAUCAUAAACCGAAGCUGCGGAUAGAUAUUUAUAUCUAUGGUAGAGGAGCAUUCUGUAAGCCGUCGAAGAAGGACUGAGAAGUUCUUUGGAGGUAUCAGAAGAGAGAAUGCUGACAUGAGUAACGAGAGAUAGGUGAAAACCCUAUCCGCCGAAUGACCAAGGUUUCCUGUCCAACGCUAAUCGGGACAGGGUAAGUCGGCCCCUAAGGCGAGGGCGAAGGCCGUAGUCGAUGGAAAACAGGUUAACAUUCCUGUACUUCCUAUUGCUGCGAUGGAGUGACGGAGAAGGCUAGAUCAGCAGGGCGAUGGUUGUCCCUGUUUAAGGCUGUAGACUUGUAUUCUAGGUAAAUCCGGAAUACUUUAAGUCGAGAUCUGAUGACGAUUGAUUUUUUAAAUCAAGAAGUGAUUGAUGCCACGCUUCCAGGAAAAACUUCUAAGCAUAAGUAGUAGGGAACCGUACUGCAAACCGACACAGGUGGUCAGGUAGAGAAUACUAAGGCGCAUGAGAGAACUUGGGUUAAGGAACUAGGCAAAAUGGUACCGUAACUUCGGGAGAAGGUACGCCUCUAUUACGUGAAAGAACUUGCUUCUCUAGCGGAAAGAGGUCGAAGAUACCAGGUGGCUGCGACUGUUUAUUAAAAACAUAGCACUCUGCAAACACUAAUGUGGAAGUAUAGGGUGUGACGCCUGCCCGGUGCCGGAAGGUUAAUUGAUCAGGUUAGUCCUCGGACGAAGCUUGUGAUCGAAGCCCCGGUGAACGGCGGCCGUAACUAUAACGGUCCUAAGGUAGCGAAAUUCCUUGUCGGGUAAG